UGGCCAACAUGGUGAAUUAUGUUUUGAUUAGAUUACUUAAUGAUUGAAAUUAACCCACUAACUAUUGAUUUAGGUGCCCCUAGUUCAACUAUCUUUGUAAAGUCAGUGGAAGGAUUUAUAGAUCAUAAUGAGUUCUUGGAGGCACCAUAUGCCUGGUGAUCCAAGUUCAAAUCAGCUCAUUCUAGGAUCAAAGUUCAAAUCUUAGCUCUUUCUACU
rnacentral:lncRNA from 1 species